GUACUUAGCGGCGGACGGGUGAGUAACGCGUAGGAAUCUACCCAGUAGUGGGGGAUAGCCCGGGGAAACUCGGAUUAAUACCGCAUACGCCCUACGGGGGAAAGGCCGGGAUCUUCGGACCGGUCGCUAUUGGAUGAGCCUGCGUUGGAUUAGCUAGUUGGUGAGGUAAAGGCUCACCAAGGCGACGAUCCUUAGCUGGUCUGAGAGGAAGACCAGCCACAUUGGGACUGAGACACGGCCCAAACUCC
rnacentral:rRNA from 1 species